AGAGAGAGACAUGCGCGCAUAUCAAUAAGCGGAGGAAAAGAAACUAACAAGGAUUCCCUUAGUAACGGCGAGUGAAGCGGGAAGAGCUCAAAUUUGAAAUCUUCAAGGUUCUACCUUGACGAAUUGUAGUUUAUAGAAGUGUUUUCUGUUAGUGGAGUGGCAAAAGUUCUUUAGAAUAGGACAUCAUAGAGGGUGAGAAUCCCGUAUUUGGUCAUUCCUCCUAGCGUUGUGAUACACUUUCAACGAGUCGGAUUGUUUGGGAAUGCAGUCCAAAAUGGGUGGUAAAUUUCAUCUAAAGCUAAAUAUUGGCGAGAGACCGAUAGCGAACAAGUACCGUGAGGGAAAGAUGAAAAGAACUUUGAAAAGAGAGUUAAACAGUACGUGAAAUUGUCAAAAGGGAAGCGUUUGACACCAGUGUUGUUUUUCCGAAAAUCAAUUACGAAUGUUUUAUUUUUGAGGAGUUAUGACUUCAUCGGCUUGCUCCUUUCUUUACGAAACUUUCUUAAUGCACUUUUCGGUUAACAAGUCAACAUCAAUUUCUUUUGUUGUAAAAGGGUAUGAGGAAGGUGGCUUUCUUUUCGGAGAAAGUGUUUAUAGCCUCGUGCCUCUGCAAUCGGAGAGAUUGAGGUCUGCAGCGUAGAUCCUUCGGGGUUAGAUACAGUUUGUGCUAAGUUAUAGCUUUUCAUAGACAACUUGUUGACUAUGUUUAGUCUUGUAGCUUACUCGCUGAUGCUAUUUUACCUACGCUUAGGAUGUUGAUAGUCACAGCGUGUAC
rnacentral:rRNA from 1 species